ACUGCUUGCUUCCUCUUAUUGCUUCCUUUAUUUGACUUACAGCGUUAAUUCUGUAAAACACAUUCAAGUCUAUAAACAGCUGCUGUGUUUGCAGCUGUGCUCUGCUAUCUAAAAAUGUAGCCAUGGAAAUGAGUAGCUAAGUGUGUAAGUGUGCUUUUUAGUUACCAAGUGUAGCUAAAAGGCACUGUCAUUAGUUAUUAAUACAGCAGUGACAACUACUUGUAAGAAAACAGAGAGGCGCUGAGAAAGGGGGCAGGACUUCAUCUCGUCUCACGGUCACUUCUGGUUAAGGACACAUUUCUAUUUUAACUUUUGCACGCUUACUUUCUGUGAGUGAAUUUAUGACUAAUCUACGAUGUCACCACAGUGGAAAGAUACGUUAAAGGAAUCUGCAUUAGUUUAAUGAAAUAAAAAUAAAAUUACUGUUAGUUAUUGAUUUUAUUGCUGUGUGAGAAAGUGUGUGGAUUACCAACAUCUGCUGUGAACAUUUGCUGUCACUCUUUGGUAUCUGCUGUGCUGCUGCUUCACUCUCUCUCUUUACAGAAAGUUGUCGAAGUUUUCAGACGUGUCACUGCUGGAUGUGAGGAUGGGAGCCACUUUGCUCUGUGAGCUGGGCCUAUUCUUGCUCUGUACGCUCGUCUGCACUGGACAUGCUCAAGGUG